rnacentral:rRNA from 1 species
ACACGUGGAUAACCUACCUAUAAGACUGGGAUAACUUCGGGAAACCGGAGCUAAUACCGGAUAAUAUUUUGAACCGCAUGGUUCAAAAGUGAAAGACGGUCUUGCUGUCACUUAUAGAUGGAUCCGCGCUGCAUUAGCUAGUUGGUAAGGUAACGGCUUACCAAGGCAACGAUGCAUAGCCGACCUGAGAGGGUGAUCGGCCACACUGGAACUGAGACACGGUCCAGACUCCUACGGGAGGCAGCAGUAGGGAAUCUUCCGCAAUGGGCGAAAGCCUGACGGAGCAACGCCGCGUGAGUGAUGAAGGUCUUCGGAUCGUAAAACUCUGUUAUUAGGGAAGAACAUAUGUGUAAGUAACUGUGCACAUCUUGACGGUACCUAAUCAGAAAGCCACGGCUAACUACGUGCCAGCAGCCGCGGUAAUACGUAGGUGGCAAGCGUUAUCCGGAAUUAUUGGGCGUAAAGCGCGCGUAGGCGGUUUUUUAAGUCUGAUGUGAAAGCCCACGGCUCAACCGUGGAGGGUCAUUGGAAACUGGAAAACUUGAGUGCAGAAGAGGAAAGUGGAAUUCCAUGUGUAGCGGUGAAAUGCGCAGAGAUAUGGAGGAACACCAGUGGCGAAGGCGACUUUCUGGUCUGUAACUGACGCUGAUGUGCGAAAGCGUGGGGAUCAAACAGGAUUAGAUACCC